rnacentral:pre_miRNA from 3 species
UCUUAAGGAUGAGCAAAGAAAGUGGCUUCUAGAGAUAAACUCUACUCCUAGUGAAGAUGCUGUGGA